CAACAUGGUGAAACCCUGUCUCUACUAAAAAUACAAAAAAUUAGCCAGGUGUGGUGGUGCAUGCCUGUAACCCCAGCUACUUGGGAGGCUGAGGCAGGAGAAUCACUUGAACCCAGGAGG